rnacentral:rRNA from 1 species
CGCGGCCUAUCAGCUUGUUGGUGGGGUGAUGGCCUACCAAGGCUGCGACGGGUAGCCGGCCUGAGAGGGUGUCCGGCCACACUGGGACUGAGAUACGGCCCAGACUCCUACGGGAGGCAGCAGUGGGGAAUAUUGCACAAUGGGCGCAAGCCUGAUGCAGCGACGCCGCGUGGGGGAUGACGGCCUUCGGGUUGUAAACCUCUUUCACCAUCGACGAAGCCUUCGGGUGACGGUAGGUGGAGAAGAAGCACCGGCCAACUACGUGCCAGCAGCCGCGGUAAUACGUAGGGUGCGAGCGUUGUCCGGAAUUACUGGGCGUAAAGAGCUCGUAGGUGGUUUGUCGCGUUGUUCGUGAAAUGCCACAGCUUAACUGUGGGCGUGCGGGCGAUACGGGCAGACUGGAGUACUGCAGGGGAGACUGGAAUUCCUGGUGUAGCGGUGGAAUGCGCAGAUAUCAGGAGGAACACCGGUGGCGAAGGCGGGUCUCUGGGCAGUAACUGACGCUGAGGAGCGAAAGCGUGGGGAGCGAACAGGAUUAGAUACCCUGGUAGUCCACGCCGUAAACGGUGGGUACUAGGUGUGGGUUUCCUUCCUUGGGAUCCGUGCCGUAGCUAACGCAUUAAGUACCCCGCCUGGGGAGUACG